rnacentral:rRNA from 13 species
GUCUUAAUUGGGCGUUAAGUUGCAGGGUAUAGACCCGAAACCCGGUGAUCUAGCCAUGGGCAGGUUGAAGGUUGGGUAACACUAACUGGAGGACCGAACCGACUAAUGUUGAAAAAUUAGCGGAUGACCUGUGGCUGGGGGUGAAAGGCCAAUCAAACCGGGAGAUAGCUGGUUCUCCCCGAAAGCUAUUUAGGUAGCGCCUCGUGAAUUCAUCUCCGGGGGUAGAGCACUGUUUCGGCUAGGGGGCCAUCCCGGCUUACCAACCCGAUGCAAACUGCGAAUACCGGAGAAUGUUAUCACGGGAGACACACGGCGGGUGCUAACGUCCGUCGUGAAGAGGGAAACAACCCAGACCGCCAGCUAAGGUCCCAAAGUCAUGGUUAAGUGGGAAACGAUGUGGGAAGGCCCAGACAGCCAGGAUGUUGGCUUAGAAGCAGCCAUCAUUUAAAGAAAGCGUAAUAGCUCACUGGUCGAGUCGGCCUGCGCGGAAGAUGUAACGGGGCUAAACCAU